rnacentral:rRNA from 1 species
AUUGAACGCUCGCGGGAUGCUUUACACAUGCAAGUCGAACGAGUGGCGGACGGGUGAGUAAUAUAUCGGAACGUGCCCCGUAGCGGGGGAUAACUACUCGAAAGCGUGGCUAAUACCGCAUACUAUUUGAGCGGCCGAUCUCGGAUUAGCUAGUUGGUGGGGUAAAGGCUCACCAAGGCCACGAUCCGUAGCUGGUUUGAGAGGACGACCAGCCACACUGGGACUGAGACAGGGCCCAGACUCCUACGGGAGGCAGCAGUGGGGAAUUUUGGACAAUGGGGGAAAGCCUGAGCCAGCCAUCCCGCGUGUAUGAGAAGGCCUUCGGGUUGGAAAGUACUUUUGGCAGAGAAGCGGUAUCUGAAGAAUAAGCACCGGCUAACUACGUGCCAGCAGCCGCGGUAAUAC